GGGAGGAGCGAGCAUUAUUCGGAAUGAUUAGGCGUAAAGAGUUUGUAGGUGGUUUUUUAAGUUGAAAGAAACAAAUUAAAGCUCAACUUUAUACAUUUUUUCAAAACUGGGAGACUAGAGUAUAGAUAGAGGAUAAUGGAAUUUCUAUUGGAGUGAUAAAAUACGUUGAUAAUAGAAGGAAGUUCUAUGGCGAAGGCAAUUAUCUGGGUAUAUACUGACACUGAGAAACGAAAGCUUGGGUAGCGAACGGGAUUAGAUACCCCGGUAGUCCAUGCUGUAAACGAUGAGUGCUAAUAUUUAGAAUUUUUAGAUAUAACAGCUAACGCGUUAAGCACUCCGCCUGAAAAGUAUAAUCGCAAGAUUG
rnacentral:rRNA from 1 species